AGAAAAAUCAUGGCAAGGUUAAAUUUCUAUCUUACGAUAUUGCUAGUUUCUAGUUGUUCGGUGGAGAUCGUCAGUGUUGGUUUAGGUCUCGGUAACAAAUUCAUAUCCCGACAGCCUGGUGUAAAAAAACUGCAUCCCUUUUACAAUGUCAAAUCAUCCCCAGUGAAGAUGCAGCAAGACGAGUUGCUACUCCUACAAGCCCUGGCGAAUGACAAGCUUGAUUAGACCAGAUUUGUCUUGGUACUGCAACAAAGAAAAAAAUAUUGAGGCAAUAAACUAAAUUUAAACUA